rnacentral:rRNA from 1 species
GACGAACGCUGGCGGCGUGCCUAAUACAUGCAAGUCGAACGCACUCUCGUUUAGAUUGAAGGAGCUUGCUCCUGAUUGAUAAACAUUUGAGUGAGUGGCGGACGGGUGAGUAACACGUGGGUAACCUGCCCUAAAGUGGGGGAUAACAUUCGGAAACAGAUGCUAAUACCGCAUAAAACCUAAACACCGCAUGGUGUAGGGUUGAAAGAUGGUUUCGGCUAUCACUUUAGGAUGGACCCGCGGUGCAUUAGUUAGUUGGUGAGGUAAAGGCUCACCAAGACCGUGAUGCAUAGCCGACCUGAGAGGGUAAUCGGCCACACUGGGACUGAGACACGGCCCAGACUCCUACGGGAGGCAGCAGUAGGGAAUCUUCCACAAUGGACGAAAGUCUGAUGGAGCAAACGCCGCGUGAGUGAAGAAGGUUUUCGGAUCGUAAAAACUCUGUUGUUGGAGAAGAAUGUAUCUGAUAGUAACUGAUCAGGUAGUGACGGUAU